rnacentral:rRNA from 1 species
AGUUUGAUCCUGGGUUCCGGACGGAACGCUGGGCGCCGUGCCUUACCACAUGCAAGUCGAGCGAAAUUUUUCAAAAUGGAUUCUUUCGGGAUGAAGUUUUGAUUGUCUUAGCGGCGGACGGGUGAGUAAUGCAUGAGAAACCUGCCUUUCACAAAGGGAUAGCCUCGGGAAACUGGGAUUAAUACCUUAUGAUACUUCAGUGUCGCAUGACACAGAAGUUAAAGCGUAAAGCGGCGAAAGAUGGUCUCAUGUCCCAUUAGUUAGUUGGUGAGGUAAUGGCUCACCAAGACAGCGAUGGGUAGCCGGCCUGAGAGGGUGAACGGCCACACUGGAACUGAGACACGGUCCAGACUCCUACGGGAGGCAGCAGUGGGGAAUAUUGCACAAUGGAGGAAACUCUGAUGCAGCGACGCCGCGUGAACGAUGAAGGCUUUCGGGUCGUAAAGUUCUGUCCUAGGGGACGAUUAUGACGGUACCCUAGGAGGAAGCCCCGGCUAACUACGUGCCAGCAGCCGCGGUAAUACGUAGGGGGCGAGCGUUGUCCGGAUUUAUUGGGCGUAAAGGGUUCGCAGGCGGCCUUUUAAGUCAGAUGUGAAAGCCCACGGCUCAACCGUGGUAAGCAUUUGAAACUGGAAGGCUUGAGUUAAGGAGAGGAAAGUGGAAUUCCUAGUGUAGCGGUGAAAUGCGUAGAUAUUAGGAGGAAUACCAGUGGCGAAGGCGACUUUCUGGACUUAUACUGACGCUGAGGAACGAAAGCGUGGGGAGCAAACAGGAUUAGAUACCCUGGUAGUCCACGCCGUAAACGAUGAGUGCUAGGUGUUGGGGGUCAAACCUCGGUGCCGCAGCUAACGCAUUAAGCACUCCGC